AAUCCCUUGCCGAGAAGCGGCAAGCAACUGCCUUGUAAGCAGUCGGUAAUGGUUCGAAUCCAUCAGGGAGCG
rnacentral:tRNA from 1 species